rnacentral:rRNA from 1 species
AUUGAACGCUGGCGGCGUGCUUAACACAUGCAAGUCGAUCGGUAACAGGUGUAGCAAUACAUGCUGACGAGAGGCGGACGGGUGAGGAAUAUUUGGGAAUCUGCCCUUCAGCGGGGGACAACCCGGGGAAACUCGGGCUAAUACCGCAUACGCUCUAAGGAGGAAAGCCGGGGACCGCAAGGCCUGGCACUGAAGGAUGAGCCCAAGUCGGAUUAGCUAGUUGGCGGGGUAACGGCCCACCAAGGCUACGAUCCGUAGCUGGUCUGAGAGGACGAUCAGCCACACCGGAACUGAGACACGGUCCGGACUCCUACGGGAGGCAGCAGUGGGGAAUAUUGGACAAUGGGCGAAAGCCUGAUCCAGCGACGCCGCGUGGGUGAGGAAGGCCUGCGGGUUGUAAAGCCCUUUCGGUAGGGACGAAAGCUCUUGCCUUAAUACGGCAGGAGGUUGACUUAACCUACAUAAGAAGCACCGGCUAACUCUGUGCCAGCCGCCGCGGUAAAAC